ACUAUGGAGUGUACAAGAACUUGCGAGUAGAUAUGAUUUCGGUCAAUCCAAAGCAUACACGAUGAAAUAGUAA
rfam:Firmicutes bacterium CAG:212 genomic scaffold, scf52